ensembl:lncRNA
AAAAACUGAGCCCUGUAGUGUUUGUCUCUGCAUAUUAGACUGUAUAUAGAGGAAAGGAUUUUUCCAUCAGCACAUGACCUUUAAAAAUGAGUCAAUUUUUGCAUGUUAAUAUCAAUUACAAUAGCAAUAACAAUGUGCAAUUACAAGCUACUCUAGUAAUUGCAUAUUAGGUCAUUCAUUUGUAUUACCGAGGACUUAAUUACGUAAUUAGAUAUUAUGUAAAGUGUAAACCUUUCUGAUGCCUACAGAUGAAUUUAUCAAGUAUUCUCAACUACCUUCCAAAAUAUAAAUACUAAUAAUAAUCUGAUAAGAACACAAGUGUUAUAUAAUGCAGGUUUUUAAGUGAUGAGGUACUACUUAAAAUGCUAUUAUAUACCCUGAGCUUAAUGGUUUUUCCUGAUGGCAUGCAUUCCUCUUGGGAUUCUUGGAAAGCGUGGAGCUUUGUCCCAGGAGGAAGUCUUUGAAUGUGAGAACGGGGAUAAAAGUCUCGAAUCCUUGAGUCUGCGGAAGCCGACAACAAUAACAACAACAGCAGCAGCCUUCAAUGAUUCACAUUUGUGCUAUUGUCAUGUAUAUGUCAUCACAAGGAGUUAAACAAGAAAUCUAGGCAAAGGCUACAUUUUUUAUUGGCCUGAGACAAGAUUGCUGGCUUGGGAAAGAAAAAGGUUGCCUUAAAGAGAUAUUUCACCCAAAAAUGAAAAUUAUGUCAUCAUUUAUUCCCCUACAUGUCAUUCCAAACACAUAAUAUUUUUUUUUUUUCUGUGAGAAACUAGAUGUUUUGCAGAAUGUUCAUACUACCUUAAAAGGAUAGUUCACCCAAAAAUUAAAAUUGUGUCAUUAAUUAGUCACCCUUAUGGCGUUCCAAACCCAUAAGACCUUUGUUCAUAGCUAUAGAAACACAAAUUAAGAUAUUUUUGAUUAAAUCCGAAAUCUUUCUCACCCUUCACAGACAGUAAUGCAACUGACAUGUUCAAGGCCCAGAAAGGUCAUCUUUGAAAUAAUCGUCACAUCAGUGGUUUAACCUCAAUGUUAUAAAGCAACGAGAAGACUUUUUGUGCACAAAGAAAACAAAAAUAACAGCUUCAUUCAACAAUUUCUUCUCUUCCGCGAAAGACUUCAACACGCG